rnacentral:lncRNA from 1 species
UGGCAGGUUAGCCAGGCCAGAGCCUGGACCUGGGGUCAGGACGGGUCACAGGGACCGAUGGAGGGGCCAGAACCCCUGGGACCCUGUGGACACUCUCACACCCAGCAUCCCCCAGCCCCAGUUUCAAACAACCAUGGAGGAUGCCUGAAUCAGCCCUGUCAGGGAUUUGUAAGGUGGCCCUGUCUGGUCCCCCUUCAGUCCACUCAGUCAUUAGAGUCUUCCAGACCUUUCCCAGCUCCAGGGACAGGGAGCGGGGGACCCAGAAUGAGAGGAGAAGCCCCUGGGAUGUUUCUGUCAAGUGAAGGAGAGAUUCCACGACAGAGAGCUCGAGAGCCAGCAGGCGCCAGACAAGAAGAGGUUGAGGUAGAGUGGGACUGGCCCCUACAUCCAGGGCAUGAGCAGGGGCCACCCAGGCAGACAGCACCCCCCACCUCAGGACCCAGGCCCUGCCCAUGCCCAACCCUGCCUCCCAGAGGAAGGGCCACGGCUUCAUCCAGACAAGCUCCCACACAGCUUCAGGGCGGGACACUAGAGUCUGCACAGCAAUCCUUUCUGCAGCUGGAGCAGGAGAACCACAGUCUG